CCUGUGUUUUUUACUAUAUGUAUAAAUUUUUCCAAUAAUCUUAUAUGUUCAUCUUGUGUUCUAGAAUAUAGCAAUAUGUCAUCUAUAUAUACAAUACAAUUUUCUAGUUGGUUAAAACAGUUAUCCAUAAAAUGUUGGAAUCUACCUGGUGCAUUUUUAUAUCCAAAAGGUAAAACAUUCCAUUCAUAGAAACCUUGCGGUACUGUGAAUGCUGUUAAUUGUUUGGAUUCUUCUUCUAGUUUUAGGUGGUAAAAUCCUGAUUUGCAGUCAAAUUUUCUAAAAUAAUUAUAUCCUUGUAUUUGUCUUAUUUUUAGUAUUUUGUUUGGUAUCGGAUAAUUGUAUGUUUUAGUUUUAGCAUUUAGAUUACGAUAAUCUAUGACCAUUCUACUUUUACCUCUUUUUUGUUCACUGUGUUUUAUUACUAUAAAUGCUGGACUUGUAUGUUUACUAUUGCUUUUUUGUAUGUAAUUAUUUUCUAACAAUUCAUUUAUAUGUAUUUUAAAUUCUUCUAGAUCAUCAAAGUUAUAUUUUAAUGGUUUCUGUGUUAUUAUACCAUUUUCAUCUAUUAAUUCAAUUUUUACUUUUGUCUUAUGUUUUUCUCAUCCUUGUAAUGGAUCUUCACUAUAUAAUUGUUCUAGUUGUUCAUUAAUUAAUUUGACUUUGUCUAUAGCAAAUAUAAUAAUUUCUAAUUGCGUUAUUUGUUUAUUAUUUAUAUUUUCCAUUUCUUGGUUUAUCUUUUCACUUCCUUUUAUCCAUUCCAUAGGUUUUCGUUGUUUAUUAUUUACUCUUUUUGCUCCUAUCUUAUUUCCGCAUGGUGUAGUAAGCCACCAAUGUGUUUUUGUUAUUAUGUGUGGAUAAUAUCUAUCUAUAAAUGGCAUUCCUAAUAACAUAUCUUUUGUAGUAAAUUCAAAAUUAUACAUUUCUUCUAUUGUUAGUAUUUUAUCCCAUAUUUGUAUUUUUAUAUUUUUUGCUUUGUAUUUAAUCAUACUUCCUUCAUUGUUAAAUCCCGUUACUACCAUAGGUGUUUUUAAUUUUUCCCAUUUAUCUUCUGGUAAGCAAUUAUAUUUACAUAUAUUCACUUCUGCUCCUGUAUCUAUCAUAGGGGUAUAAUAUCUGUUGUGAUAUCCUUCUACUAUAAAUUUUGCAAGUAUAAAUAUUUUCAUUAAUCAUUUUGUCCUUUUUAUAAUUAUUUUCUUAUCUUGACAAGUUAUUGUUAAUUGUUCAUUUUCUAUAUUGUAUGGUUUGACUUUUUCUAACCAUUUUAUUCCUAAUGUAAUAUUAGGAUUUCCUUGGUAUAUUUUAAAUUGUAUUACUAAGGGUAUUCCUCCUAUAAUUAUUUGUUUUUCUGUUGUUUCUUCAUUCGUGUUCACUAUCUCACUAGGUAGUCCAGGGCAUGUAUGUCCUGUUCUUAUAAUUUCUUCUUCUAAUAUUAACUCUCUUGUUAUAUAAUUUUCUUCUUGUCCUGUAUUUAUUAAUAUUUUAUAUUUUCUUUGGUCUAUUAUUCCUCUUAUAAAAUAAUGAUAUGGUGUUAUUUCUUCUUUAUCUAAUAAGCUUUGUGGAAUUUCAUAUUUUCUUUUAGAUGUACUCAUCCUUGAUGAGGUAGCUCUUGUCAAUGUAUUUGGUACGCUUGAAGUGCUUAAUCUUUCUUUUACUAUCUCUAAAUCUUCUUCUAUAUCAAUUUCUUUAUAGCUAUAGUCAUUAUUGUCUAUUACAGUAAUUAUUUUUUCAAAAGGAUUUUCUAUUUUUAUUUUAUUAAUUUUAUUUCUUGCUGUUAUUUUAUGCUUUGUUGUUAAUAUAUAUAAAUUUUUACAUCUUGCUGUAAAUAAUUUGCUCCCUGGUGCUAGUUCUAUUCCAAACAUUUUCCAAUAUAGAACUAAUGAUCUAUCUAUAUUUUUAUCUGUUAAUGAUACUGUAUAAUUAGCACUUAUUGUAAACUUAAAUUUUUGAUAUAUUAAGUUUCCUUUUACUGCACUAAUUAUGCUUUUUUCUAUAGGGUGUACAAUUCUAUCAUCUGCUAAAUAUAUUUCUAUAGGUGUAUCUAUUCCUUCUCUAAAGCAGGCUUUUAUUAAUAUUUCUGUUCCUCCUAAAUGUACAUAUUUUAUUGGUGUUUUAGCUUUUAUAUCUUGUAUUUCUUUUUUUAUCAUUCUUUUAUUUAUUAUAGGUAUAUAUGCUUUUCCUCUUGUGAAUUUACAAUCUAUGAUAUGUUCUUUUUGACUAACUACAUAGUAUUCUUCUUUUUGUCUUUUAAACCAAUUUCUUAAAAUAGGUAUUUCUAGUACUUUUUCAACACUUAAAUCUAAAUCUUUUCCUUUUAUUUGUUCAAAUAUCGUAUUAUCAAAUAUAAUUUUCUGUUCUGAUGAUUCUUCAUCUUGAUAUUCUUCCUUAGAUAUUAUUUUUAUUUCAUUUUCAGACAUUAUAUUUCUUCAUCUGUUUCGUUGUUAUCUAUGUUAAUAUUUUCUUCUUCAUUCUCAGUUUCUAUGUCUGAUACUUCAUAUAUACUAUCAUUUUCACUUAAUUCAUAAUCUAUGUACUCUAUUUGCAUAUAUUUUUCAUUGUCUAUAAUUAAUUCUUCUAUUUGUUUUCUUUUUGGAUUUUUGGGUAAUUUACAAUCUUUAGCUAUGUGUCCUAUCUUUCCACAAUUAUAACAAGUACAUUGGGAUAUUUUUCUUUUUGGUCUGUAUGGUCUUUUUAUUUUAUGAUUUUUUACAUAAUACCUUCGUCUUGGUUGUUUAUAUUUAUAUAUAGUUUUGUUUUUUCUAUAAUUUUUUAUAUCUUUUAGAUUUUUGUUUUUUAGUUGUGCAUCCAAAUUGUGGUGCCAUUUUAUUUUUGCAACAUGAUAAAUUUUUAUUUAAUACUUUUUCCAUUUUUAAUUUUUCUUUUUGGUUUUCACAUAGUUGUAUGAACCAUUGGUUUAAAAUUUUUAUUCUAGAUCCUAAAGUAUAUACCAUUCCUUCAUUAUUCCAAUCCUUUAUCACAUUUGUACUAAAUGGUUCUGGUAAUUUUGUAUAAUAUUGUUUUCUUAUUUCUUUUGCUUCGUCUAAAUUGUAUUUAGUUUUGUAAUAAUAUUCUUUAAAUGCGCAAGUAUAUUCUUCUAAGUAACACAUUUUACAUAUAGCUAAUUUUGUCAUAAGUUGUCUAUUUAUUAUUUUUUCUCUAUUUUGUUCUCUUAUAUCUGUAGUCAUGCCUCCAAAUUCAUUUCUUAUUGCUGAUUCAUAUUUAUCUAGUAUAUCUAUAUUUGUUGCUGAUGGGGAUCCAUCCAUUUUCUUAUCAUUUCUAAGUACUUCUAAACUUUCUGGGGGUAGCUUUUCUAUCCAUAAUUUUGCUGUUCCUAUGAAUGUUCUUUCUAUGUAUCUUGGUGUUUUUCUGUUUCUAUUUUGUUAUCUAUUAACUGUUUAGACAUAUUUCCUACCCAUAACAAUAUUACUUUAUUUAUAUUUGCGACACAAUCUAAAUCUAAGAAAUUGUAUUGUUCAUUUGCUGGUUUAGGUGUCCAAUUUUUAUUUAGUCUACUGUUCCAUAUUGCAUUAUUUCUGUCUGAUUGUUGAUAGUUUUCUGUAUAAUAAGUUGGUGGUGUUCUCCUAGGACUAACUCUAGGACUAUUUCUGGGACUAUUAUCUGGGGUUUUAACUCUUGACGUACUUGGCCUAUUCAUAUCUCCUGUGUUUAUUUCUAAUUUUUUUGGUUUAUUUAUCUGUUCUAGAAUUUCUGUAUAUGUUUCACUUAUAUCACUUAUUUCUGAUUGUUGGUCAUUUUCAUUUCCGUCUAUUUCAUUUACUUCAAUAUCUUCAUUUAGUUUCUGUUCCAUUUGUUUUAUUUCAUUUGUUAAUUCUAGCUCUUUAUCUUUUUGUUUUUGUUUAUUUUCAUAUAAUAAUUUUAACCUAGCUAAUUCUUUUUCUAAUUCACUUAUUCUUGUAUUUUUUAUUUCUUCUAAAUUUUGUACUUCUUGUUUUGCUUGUGUUUUUAUUUUUUCAAUUUCUCUUGAUUUAUCUAUUUCUUCAUUUUCUUUUGUUAUUCUUACCAUAGCUGUUAAACUAUCUUCUAAUUUUGUUGUUUCUUUUUCUAGCAUUAAGUAUAAGUUAUUUCCUAUUCUCUUGUAUCUUCUUCCUAAAUUUGAAAAUACUAUUUUUAUUAUCAUUCCAUCUUGGUUUUCAUAUGUUUUUUCGUCUACUUCAAACUCUUCUUUAUUCAUUAUGAUCUAUGUAUUAUAUUAUGUUGUAAUUCAUAUUCAAGACAAUCUAAUUCUAAUUCUAACAUUAAUAUAUCUUUUCUUUGUGCUAGUAUUGAUUUACUAUAUACUCCUGCUAAUAUAUUUUCUUCUAACCUAUUUUUUCUAUGUUGUAAUUCUUGUUCUUUCUCUGUUAUUUUUUCCAUUAUUUUUUCUAUUAAUUGUUGUUUAUAAAUUUCUUUGUUCAUACUGUUUUUUCAAAUAGCGAACAUAUUUGUAUUCGGUUUUCGAAAUUAUAUUUAUCAAUUGAUCUUUUUUACCAUUGUCUGUUUUGACUAGUUGCGAUAGUUCAUAUUCUAUAUACAAGGGUCUUAAUUUUUUCCAUAUUUUUCUUACCUUUUAUCUAUCUUGGUUCUUUCUAUUUUAGUAUUUUUAUUCAUCAUAAUUUUUUAUAUAAUAUUUUAAAAAGUCUACUUAAUUUAUCUGGAUAUUUAAUCUUUUUUAACCUGUAAUUUCUACCAUAUCGUCUUAGCCAAUAUUCAGUCAUAUUUAAUCUCCAAUAUCUAAAUCAUCAUAUAAAUGAUACAUGUCAUAAUAAAGCUCAUCUUGUAUACUUUGUAUGGUUAACUCAGUCCAACCUGGGUUGUUAUUUCUAUUAUCUCAUAUGUUAAUAAUUUAUUAUAAAUUUCUCUUUUUAUAUCAGUAUUCAAAUUUUUUAGUAUAUAUAGUAGUAAUAUCUUAUAAUCAACAUUAUCGUCUAAUAGGUAUGUUUCCAUUUUUAUUAUUUUCAUUUUUCACUAAAACUUUAUUCCUUCCAACUUCUUAAUAAAUUAUACUUGCUUAUUAUGCAAAAAUAAUGAUUUAAUAAUCAUCUCGUCUGGUCACUACUACAGCUUUCUUCUUUGAUUAGUUACCCUAACAGCGCCUCAACUUUGUUUACUCCCCUAAACGGCCUUCUCUACCUACCGGUUUCAACCUUAGGAUGGCAUAGUCUGGGCUUACUUAUUCGAAGAAUAUUCUUGCUCGAGCUGGAUGAUUAAAAAUUAUCAUGUCCAGUUCCCUCGGGGGAUGGAUCUAUAAGAAUUCACCUAUCCCAAUUACAAAAAAACCUGACUUGAAUGAUCCUGUAUUAAGAGCUAAAUUGGCUAAGGGUAUGGGUCAUAAUUAUUAUGGCGAGCCCGCAUGGCCCAAUGAUCUUUUAUAUAUUUUCCAGUAGUAAUUCUAGGUACUAUUGCAUGUAAUGUAGGCUUAGCCGUUUUAGAACCAUCAAUGAUUGGUGAACCAGCGGAUCCAUUUGCAACCCCUUUGGAAAUCUUACUUGAAUGGUAUUUCUUUCCUGUAUUUCAAAUACUUCGUACAGUGCCUAAUAAAUUAUUGGGGGUUCUUUUAAUGGUUUCAGUACCUGCGGGAUUAUUAACAGUACCUUUUUUAGAGAAUGUUAAUAAAUUCCAAAAUCCAUUUCGCCGUCCAGUAGCGACGACUGUCUUUUUGAUUGGUACGCAGUCGCCCUUUGGUUGGGCAUUGGUGCAACAUUACCUAUUGAUAAAUCCCUAACUUUAGGUCUUUUUUUUUUUAAUUGAUUCAAUUGUGAACUAACACGACAUGUGUAUCUAGGGAAUAGUUUCUUCAAAGCGAAUUCUCCCUAGAUACAUCUAUUCAAUUUCAUUAUUAAUUUCUUUCUAAUAUCUAAUAUAUGAUAUAUUAAUUGUGCUAAAUUGUGCUUUUUCAAUCUAUUUUCACUAAGUAAGUCCAAUAGAUUUAAAACUUAUUUUUUGCUAAAUCAAUUAUGAAAUAUUUUUCUAAAAUGUCCAAUAUCUGUUUUAUAUCUUCGCUACGAAAAUGUUCAAUUUUCAUAAGAUCUUCUUGGCUGUUAUUCAAAAGGUCCAAUAAUGAAUAUAUAUUGGACAUUUUGAGGCAAUUAUAGAUCCUGGAAGACAAUUCUUAUUGGUCAAUAAAAAUUGAUUUCAAUGCUAUUUUUUUUUGUUUUUUAUGAGUUUAGCCAAUUUAUCAUGAAAGGUAAAAGGGGAUAAAGGAACCGUGUGUUGAUUGUCCUGUAAAUAUAAGUUGUCUUCCUCCAUAUGUAAAAAGGGAAUAAAUAAAUCAAUUAAAUUUUGGGAUGCGUCAUGAAGUGCUUUUUUCGGAGUUAAACUUCCGUUUGUCCAUAUUUCGAUAAAAAGUAUCUCUUGUUUUUCAUUCCCAUUCCCAUAAGAAUGAAUACUAUGAUUCGCGUUUCGAACAGGCAUGAAUAAAGCAUCUUUAGGAUAACUUCCAUCUUGAAAGUUAUGUGGCGUUUUUAUAAGAUAUCCACGAUUUCUCUCUAUUGUAAUCUAAUACAAAAAUCAAUUGGUUCCGUUAAACUAGCUAUAUGUUGUGUAUUAUCAACGAUUUCCACAUAAGGUGGCAAGAUGAUAUCUUGAGCAGUUACAUAUCCGGGACCAUUGAAACAAAUAGACGCCUCAGAAGUUCCAUAUAAAUUACUUCUCAAUACAAUCUCUUUCAAAUUCAUUAAAAUUUCAUGUACCGAUUCUUGAAUGCCCGUUAUGGUAGAAUAUUCAUGUGGUACUUUCUCAGAUUUUACACGUGUGAUACAUGUUCCUUCUAUUUUCCCAAGUAAAGCUCUUCGCAUCGCAAUGCCUAUUGUGUCGGCUUGGCCUUUCAUAAGUGGAGACAGAAUAAAGCGUCCAUAAUAAAGGCGUUUACUGUCUGUUCUUGAUUCAACACACUUCCACUGUAGUGUCCGAGUAGAUACUGUUACUUUCUCUCGAACCAUAGUACUAUUAUUUGAUUAGAUCAUCGAAUCUUUUUUUUUCUCUUGAGAUUUCUUCAAUGUUCAGUUCUACACACGUCUUUUUUUCAGAGGUCUACAGCCAUUAUGUGGCAUCGGAGUUACAUCCCGUACGAAAGUUAAUAGUAUACCACUGCGACGAAUAGCUCGUAAUGCUGCAUCUCUUCCGAGACCGGGACCUUUUAUCAUGACUUCUGCUCGUUCCAUACCUUGAUCAACUACUGUACGGAUAGCGUUUGUUGCUGCGGUUUGAGCAGCAAACAGUGUUCCUCUUCUCGUACCUUUGAAUCCAGAAGUACCAGUUGAGGACCAAGAAACUACUCGACCCCGUACAUCUGUAACAGUGAUAAUGGUAUUAUUGAAACUUGCUUGAACAUGAAUAACUCCCUUUGGUAUUCUACGUGCACCCUUACGUGAACUAAUACGUCCAUUCCGACGCGAACUAAUUUUUGGUAUAGCUUUUGCCAUAUUUUAUCAUCUCGUAAAUAUGAGUCAGAGAUAUAUGGAUAUAUCCAUUUCAUGUCAAAACAGAUUCUUUAUUUGUACAUCGGCUCUUCUGGCAAAUCUGAUUAGCCCUGUCUUUGUUUAUGUCUCGGGUUGGAACAAAUUACUAUAAUGCGCCCCCUCCUACGGAUUAGUCGACAUUUUUCAUAAAUUUUACGAACGGAAGCUCUUAUUUUCAUAUUUAUCAUUCCUUACCUUAAUUCUGAAUCUAUUUCUUGGAAGAAAAUAAGUUUCUUGAAAUUUUUCAUCUCGAAUUGUAUUCCCACGAAAGGAAUGGUGAAGUUGAAAACCUAAUCCUUCAAAUCUUUGUUGUGGAGUCGAUAAAUUAUAUGUCCUUUGUUGAAUCAUAAGGACUUACUUCAAUUUUGACUCUAUCUCCUUGCAGUAUCUGUAUAAAACAAAGUUCCUUUGAGGUAUCAACUAAUGCGAAAGAUAUUAGAUAACUCUCCCCUCCUUUUUCGCAAAUAGGAAGUUUCGAAUUCAAUUUGCAUAUUAUAAAGGAUUACCAGAUAUAACACAAAAUUUCUCCACCUAUUCCUUCUAGUCGAGCCUCUCGGUCUGUCAUUAUACCUCGAGAAGUAGAAAGAAUAACAAUCCCAUUAUUUGUUGUUUUCUCGAUGUUUUCUCACGUUUUGAUAAAAACCCUCUCAUAAAAGUAUUUGAAAAAUAUUUUCGGUAAUAUUAGUAGAUGCUAUUCGAACCACCUUUUUCGAUCCAUAUCAGCAUUUCGUAUAGAAGUUAUUAUCUCAACAAUAGUGUCCCUGCCCAUGAUGAACUAAAAUUAUUGGGGUCUCCAAAUUUGAUAUAAUCAACGUGUUUUUUACUUAUUUAUUUUUUAAUAUGAUAUGAAUUAUAAAGAUAUAUGCGUGAGACACAAUCUACAAAUUAAUCUAUUUCUUUCAAAUACCCCACUCGAAAACAGAUCACAAUUUCAUUUUAUAAUACCUCGGGAGCUAAUGAAACUAUUUUAGUAAAAUUUAAUUCUCUCAAUUCCCGGGCGAUUGCACCAAAAAUUCGAGUUCCUUUUGGAUUUCCUUCUUGAUCAAUAACAACUGCAGCAUUGUCAUCGUAUAGUAUUAUCAUCCCGUUGUCACGUUUGAGUUCUUUACAGGUAUGCAAAAUUACAGCUCUGACUACUUCUGAUCUUUCUAGGGGCAUAUUUGGUAUUGCUUCUUUGAUCACAGCAACAAUAACGUCACCAAUAUGAGCAUAUCGAGGAUUGCUAGCUCCUAUGAUUCGAAUACACAUCAAUUCUCGAGCCCCGCUAUUAUCCGCUACAUUUAAAUGGGUCUGAGGUUGAAUCAUUUUUUUAAUCCGUUCUUUGAAUGCAAAGGGCGAAGAAAAAAAAAGAAAUAUUUUUGUCCAAAAAAAAGAAACAUGCGGUUUCUUUCAUAUCUAAGAGCCCUUUCUACAUUUUUUUCUAUUACAUUACGAAAUAAUGAAUUGAGUUCGUAUAGGCAUUUUGGAUGCUUCUAGUGAAAUAGCCCUUCUGGCUAUAUUUUCUGUUACUCCACCCAUUUCAUAAAGUAUUUGCCCCUGUUUACAACAGCUACCCAAUAUUCAGGGGAUCCUUUUCCUGAACCCAUACGGGUUUCUGCGGUCUUAAUGUAACUGGUUUGUCUGGAAAUAUACGUACCCAUAUUUUUCCACCACGACGUGCAUUUCGUGUCAUUGCCCGUCGGCCUACUUCUAUUUGUCGACAUGUAAUCCAAGCAGGUUCAAGUGCCUGAAGAGCAUAUUUACCGAAAGAAAUACGAUUACCUCGAUAAGAUAUUCCCUUCAUUCUGCCUCUAUGUUGUUUACGGAAUCUGGUUCUUUUGGGGUUAUAGUUGAUGGUUGGUUCUGAAUUCCAUCUCUACUACAGAACCGGACGUGAGGUUUUCUUCUCAUCCAGCUCCCGCAAAUAAAAGGAUUCAAAAAAAUUCUAUUUGAAUUAAGCUAGAAUAGUAAAUCUUAAGUUAAGAUAUAUAAGAUAUGUAUUUACUGAGUAAUACCUUGAACGUGGGCUUCUUUGAGAUUUCAUUAAAUCUAUUAGUAAUUGGUAUAUCUUGUUUGAAUAGAUAACUAAACUUUGUACUUUUUCUAAAGAGAAAUAAAAAAAAUGUAUUAUUAUACCAAAUCCUUAUUUUGUCCUUUAUUGUAUUGUCCUAAAUUUUGCAAUAAAAAAGUUUUCGCGGGCGAAUAUUUACUCUUUCAAUCCCUAUUUCAUUUGUAGGGUUAACUCGUGACUUCUCAAAUCUCAGAAUACAUGAACUAAUCUAUGGUUCGUUCCGCCAUCCGACCAGUGAAUCAUUAAGAUUCCCUUUUCAAUAGAAAUCUUUUGCAUUCACAAGUUCCGUCGUUCCAAUCACUUCUUACUUAAUGGUUAGGUCCGAAUUCUUCAAUGGAGCUCAGAAUCAAAUUGUUUCUUGAGUCAAUCUUCUUUGUCUUUAUUGAUCGAAGCUCUUGAUUUUUUUCUAUUUUCUAUAAGAAGAUUCUUUUUAGUAUGGUAUGAUGCGUAUUGAUGCUUUAUUACACUGUCUUUUAUGAGAUUACUCAUAGACCUU
rnacentral:lncRNA from 1 species